GAGUUUGAUCGUGGCUCAGAUUGAACGCUGGCGGCAUGCCUUACACAUGCAAGUCGAACGGCAGCAUGAUCUAGCUUGCUAGAUUGAUGGCGAGUGGCGAACGGGUGAGUAAUACAUCGGAACGUGCCCUGUAGUGGGGAGUAACUAGUCGAAAGAAUUAGUCUAAUAACCGCCAUACGACCUGAGGGUGGAAAGUAGGGGGACC
rnacentral:rRNA from 1 species